UACGGAGGGAGCUAGCGUUUGUUCGGAAUUAUUGGGCGUAAAGAGCGUGUAGGCGGCUUUGUAAGUUGGAAGUGAAAUCCCAGGGCUUAACCCUGGAACUGCUUUCAAAACUGCAGAGCUAGAGUAUGUAAGAGGGUGAUGGAAUUCCUAGUGUAGAGGUGAAAUUCUUAGAUAUUAGGAGGAACACCAGUGGCGAAGGCGGUCACCUGGUACAUUACUGACGCUGAGACGCGAAAGCGUGGGGAGCAAACAGG
rnacentral:rRNA from 1 species